AAAUUUACCCCACCAAACCAUAUAUUUUUGAAAACUAGACACCCCAGGGUAUUUUAGAUGCUGAUAGUUUAACCCUUUCCAUGCACUAAUCCUACCACCAACCCUUGUCAAAGUUUGUGAUAGUAAUUGUUUUUGGUGUUUUUUUCACACACUUUGUACUUCAGGUGUGAAAUUACAGCUCCUGGUAUAUGUUGCUUACAUUGAUACCCCACAUGCAUGGGUUUGUCAGAUUGUUUGGGGGCAAAAGGGCCACAUUUGGAACAUGAGCAAUUCAGUUUUUCAACUAGGAAGUUUUACAUCUGGGUAAAGAAAAAUGCUUGUACCCAACUAUCAGUAGGGACAGGUUACAAGAAAGCCUGGCCUAUCUCCAAGAAGGGAUUUGAUCUAGCACCUUAAGCGGUCCCUCAUGCCACGGAAUGGACACAGGGUUCACUUGACA